CCUCACCACCGAUUCAUAUCUGACAUCAGAGUUGUGGGGAUCUGGUGAUUGAUGAUCCUGAAGCAACCCCAUUCUUGCUCGCAUCGAUUAGUUUCUGGGAUUGAGAUGGAAAGUCUUGCAGAUCAAUCACUGUUGGGACAAACGAUCGUCUGAGGAUUCGAAUUACAGACGCAAAUCAGUAGAGAUGUUUUGGGUAUAGUUUCUCAGCAGGAGAUAGUCUCGCUCUACCAGAGGUUCUGUCAACUCGAUUGCAACAGUGGUGGCUUCAUCUCUGCCGAUGAGUUCUUGUCAGUACCUGAAUUCGCCGUCAAUCCUCUCUCUCAGGUUCUCAAUCACACUCCAUUCUCUUUCUCUCUAUUUAUAUAUACAUACACACAAGCACUGAAACCCACAUAAUGGAUUAGGGAUUUGGACCUCAAAGAGGCCUCAAAUGAAUUUAUAUGCUGGCAUAUGCACACAUUGUAUUGUUUAUGCAUAUAUUAAUUAUAUCAAGAUGUUGUAUUGAUGAAUUAAGGGAGCAUAUCAAUUAGGGCAAAAAAGUUAAAUUCCGUUUC